CGCGCCCCGCCGGGCUCUGAGGGGGAACCGCCUGUGAGGGCCGCCUCAGGGCGCCACGUCACCCCCAGCAAGGGGGAACGGCGGGUGUUGUGUUCUGUGUUCUCUUCGUUCACCAACAGCACAUUUUCAGGAGCAUCAGUUCAUCCCACCUGAAAUGAGAAGGAAGCACUUAAUGUUUAUUCAUUGAUUCUGGUAGAACUUUGUGCUUUUCAAGCAGAAAAUAUAAGAUACUCCCAAUCAACUGAAUCAUCAAUCCAUGGGAGAAGAGCUGAUGAGAUAAAAAAUACUAAUCAAUCAUAUCUGGUAGUAGCAUAUUAAUGGAGGUGGAAUUUAUUUUCUCCCAUAAAGCAUUCCUGGUUAACCCCAUCAUGCUGUCUCCUUAGUGGUGUCAUGCUUGUAAAGCACGGAUGAGGAGCUCUCAUCCAGUCCAGUGCACAAUCACUAUCCUCAAAACAAGUCUCAUGAAACAGCUCCGACUGCUAAACAUGCAAUCUGCCUGACAAACAACAAGGAAAUAAAUUAAAGGAUGAUCAAUAUAGCACUUCAUACCCUCUAGGCAAAUGCAUGCAAGUGCACAGGUUUUCCAUCUACAUAUGUCUCAGAGUCCUAUCACUACCAGAAUUUUGAUCUGCUUUAAUCCCUCUACAUGCAACUGUCACUGGAAUUCAGCAAACACUGAGUGUUUUUACCUGAAGAUCAUAAUUGGCUGUUCUGCAAGAAAUCAAUCUCAUGAAAGCAUGGAAAAAAGGAGUUAGAAGUGAUGGGAGAAAUCUCUUUGAGUUAAGGUGAUGAGGCAUGGUCUCAUGCUCUGUCCCCUCUCAGUAUGUAUGUGCAUCUUGGAUGCCACAUGACUUGUUCCCAAUGAAGAUGAUGUAUCUGGAGAAGCAGGAACUCAGCAAAACUCAAGUUGUUGCUCCAGGCAGUUGUGAUGCCAGAUGCCUGAAAUGAAAACAGGGAGACUGUCCUUCCUGUCUUCCGAUUGUGCUCCCUCUGCUCGUGUUCAAACAGAAAGUAUUUGGGUAUGAACAGUAAAAAAAACUAUGUGCAAACCAGAUCAACAAUCUUGGUCCCAAGUCCCAGCAAGCCUGUAAGACAUGGAUCAUUUACUUGGCACAUUCAGUGAGACUGAUAGGUACAAACUCUGAAAAAAGUAUCUUCAGCUCUUUGUAGUACAUCAGCCUCAUGUCAGUGAGCAUCUACAGUGUUGUGACAAGAAAAAUGUGCCAAAUAGUACCUCAGAUGACAGCAUGGACAUGUGGUAUUGAUCCACCACUUCUUUUCUAAGUCUUUUACCAUCUUUGCCCAGCUCUUUAUGAGAAGAUAACAAGAAAGAGUCAUAAAGGACCGCAUAUGGAUGUGGGGACUCCAACCUGCAUAAAGGUAGGGAACUGGAAAGUAGGCGACAAGACCAAAGUUAGAAAGGUGAGGGGAAGCUGUGGGAUGCUGUCCUUGAAGUGAGCAGCUGAGAGCUACAGGGUCUAUACAAAGAUGGAUGUUUGUAGCAACAAAUGUAUAUUGAGAGCUAGGAGUUACAGGCAAUUGAUACAGGAUUCAAAAUGAUCCAAUAAUAAUCUAUGAACAACAGUUAUGGAGAAACAAAAAUGUUUAAAGUACUUGACAAAACUUGCAGAAACUUGGUGGAAAAAGAAGCUUUCCAAUGGUUUGAGUCUGUUACUAGAUGGAAAAAUAGAAAUGCUAACAAUAACAUAGGAAGGCAGAAGAGCUCAAUAAAUAUUUCUGGUCUGUAUUUGGGGAAGAGCCAGAUGAUACACAAAUAUCGUAUGAUGAUGAUGAAAUACAUUCCAUUACAACAGGCACCGAGGGGGAUGUUAAACAGAAGCUAAUAAGGCUGUGCAUCAGCAGGUAUAGAUAACUUUCAUCCAAAAGUUUUAAAAGCACUGGCAGGGAGUAUCUUUAGACCAUUAAUGUUGAUUUUCAAUAAAUCUUGGAACGCUGUUCAAGUUCCAGAGCACUGGAUGAAAUAUUGUACCGAUAUUUUAAAAGGGUAAACAAGGUGACAAGGGUAAUUUCAACUUGCCAGCCUGGCAAGAAUUCUGGGUAACAUAAUGGGUCAUUAGCUACAUUACUUGAUUAAAAAAGAAUUAAAGGAUGGAAACAAAAUAAAUGCAAAUUAAUGUGGAAAAUAAGUCUUGCCAAAAUAAAUUGAUUUUUUUAAUGGCAUUACAAGUUUGGUGGAUCAAGGUAAGUAGGUCUGUAAAAUACUUGUUUUGGUAACUUGCAACAGUUUAAUUAAGAAACCAGAACGGUAGAGACUCAUCACAGCAUGUAUUAAACUGUUCAAACUCUGGCUAACUGGCAGUUACAAAGUGGGGAAAUAAGAAGUCAUCAUCAAAGAAUGCAUUUCUGUGUCAUACAGUGAUUAGUUCUGUACUAUACUGUAUGGAUAGUAAUGGCUUUAAGGAAAGAAUAAAAUCAUCACUUACAAAGUUUGCAAGUGAUGUAAACAACAAGGAUUAACAAAUAACAAGUCACAACGGAAAGUAUCUGAGACAGCUUGAUAACAAGUAAUAUGCAUUUCUAUACAGCCAGAUGUAAAAACAUGCACCAAAGAAUAGAGACCAUGAUUAUAGGAUGGGGGAAUUUGUGCUGUAACAAGUUAAUGCUCAAAAACCUAGAGUGUCAUCACAUAUAAUCAGAAGCAAAUGAGCAGGUGGUGCAGUGCUGUGGGCCAACAGGCUAAUACAACCCUUGGCUUUAUAAAUAGGAGAAUAUAGAAUAACGUCUUUAUUUUUUCUGGCACUAGUCCAACUACUCCCGAAAUCUGAGAGCCAAAUCCCUUAAUUCUUUAACCGAAGCUGAAAAUUAAAUUGUUCGGAGAAGACCAAUAAGAAUGAUUUAGAUGAAAACUGAAAACAUUCAAUCUACUUCCACGUGUAAAAAGAAGGUGAAGGGUGACUCAAUCACAGGUUUGAAGUACUUCCAAAAUUCAGUGACUAUGCUAAAGGCAGACUUAUUCAGCUUCCCAGUAAGGUCUUUUACCAGUGAAGGCAAUUAAUUACGGAAAUGCUUUAGAGAGGAACAAGUUAAAUUUCCCAGCGCUGGGACUGUCAAAAUCAAAACAAGGUGCUUUUAAAAACUAUUUUUAACACAUACAGGAGUUCAGUCCUAUAAGUCUGCUACCCAUGAGACACAAUGAGUUGAUCACAGCUGUAGAUUCUGGUUGCUUGUCUAUGCAGAAGUUGAUUUCCUUGGGGCACUAAGAAGCAGCAACCUGUCAUCCCCUUCAGCAUCAUCUGACACAGAUCAUGUGUCCCUGAGCACAUGACGGGCGCAGCCAUGUGGAUGCUAAUGUUUACAUGGGUAGAAGGGAUGAGUGUGCUUGUUCACAGAAGGCAAAUCCUUUGAAGUGUAUUGCAUAAAAAUGUAACAGUUCUCACUCGAGAAGCCUGAGACAUACACUGCUGGAAGCUGGGAACUCCUCAGAAUUGUCACUAACUAUAUGAUUAUCCUGCUACUCAGUUCUUUAUCUGGCAUCUGCCUCUGGCUGCUCUCACAAGCAGGAUACUGAUCUUUCUCAUGCCAAGCUGUCUCUCUGGUCUAUGGGAAAGCUGACUCGCCCCUGAUCUCUGAACGGAGCAGGAGUUUUGGUGGGAGCAGAGAGUAGAUGCAUGAUGAUAAGUUGGCAUAGGUGCAGGAGAGGACAAGAGCCAAGGGAGAGAAGAACAGGAACACUUGCUACUAGAAAGUCAAAGACAGACUUGGGGAAGGGAGUGUGGAUGAGGCUCAGAACCUUUCCAGAAUUUGACAUGGAUUCAGGAAGCUCCUGGACUGAACUUGUAUCAUCAAACGAUCAGGAAACCUCACAGCAAAAUGUUGAUUACUUUCCCAGUGUAGUUACCGAUCCACAUACUCAGCCUCUGACUGAUACAUGUGGUAAGUGGGGAAGGCCUGUGCUGUGAACCUAAGGGUCCAAACUUCUUGGAUGACUGAUGGUUUUAUUCAGUUUUGUGGAAUAAUAGAUUUUUUUUCCCCGUGCAGUUGCUGGUAACUGCUUGCAUAUCACUCUCUGACAGAAACAAUACUGUAAAUAUUCAUUACGACGACCACUGCUAACGGCGUGUUUAAUGAUCUCUUUUCUAAUUUCUACUGUAAAAACCAUCUCCUGAUUACAACCAUCCAAAGACACCAAGAGACCUUCAGUGAAGAUUACAAUGUAAUGAUUUUGCCCUCUAGUGGCUGAAUGACAUAGCCCAGCUCCUUUGGAGUCUGUCUUAAUACACCUUUAUUACAUCACCAGCCUUGAAUCUUUAAUUUUCUAAACUUUAUGCAGGGUUCACCCAUUACACUCAAGUACUACCUGCACCAGAACAAUCCGAAUCAAUAAAAAUGCUUGGCUAAACAUCCUCAGAAGGCUAUAUUAAGGUUAACUCAGUACUUAGUGAGUCAUGCAAUAAAGCCACUAAUACCCGGGCACUUAAUUAACCUGUGAUGCAUUUUCCACCAGAUGUGAUUUAAUCUCUAUAAAACAAAAAGACCUGCUAUAUCACCAUCUCAGUGUGUGUGUCAAUUUAGAGUCAUUCUAUCCUUAUUUCGUCUGGUUUAAAUUUUAAAAAUGUCAUGUAUUCUUUGGAGAAAUAAAGAUGACAUUUUAACCCUUUCCAAAAGUACACUCUCAUAGGUUAUACAUUUAAAAGGGAACAUAACUGGUUUACUAGUUAUGCUGGCUACAUCUUGAAACAUCCAUCAAUUUUCUCUCCGUAUUUCUGACACUGGCCCUGAGGCUUUAAAAGAUCUGUCUCUGUAUCUGUGUUAAACUUCUGUGAGAGCUUAAGCAAGGGUUUUGGACUUUAAUUACAUCUUGAUUUUUUUUUCUUUUCUCCCCCUCUGGCACCCAUUUUAGUUUAUUAGCCUAAGCUUCAUAAGGAAACAACACAUUUAAUUAAAUUGUUUGUCUUUCUCUUUUGCUCUCUCUGCAUAUCUUUAGGAUCUCUUGGCCAAUUUCUGCCUCAGCUGAAAAAGUGAUAAGUCUCAAAGGAAAUUAAGUUCAUACAAGUUUUGUGGCAAUCCAGUCAGGCAUAGAGAGGGUGAGCCGAAGCAAGUUGAGCUGUUACAUAUUCAGUGUGGCAGCAGCCAGCUUGUUAACAGCCAGCCUGUGCUCAGGCUGCUCAGACAGCACACACACCCCACCACGUUACUUACUCCCAGCGUAUGCUGGCGUGGCCUCGGAGUGUCACAUUGAAUUUGGAGGAAACUGAGGUCGUUGUGGUAGAGAGGAUCAUCAUGGACGUGGCAGGGCUAGUGUUAGUGCACAGAAGAGAUGAGAGAGUGAAGACACAAAUCCCUGUGCAAACAGGAUUUAUUUUUCUAGCAUUCACAACAACAGCUUCUUGAAGGUUAUUAUUUGGACUCUGUAAUUGAGAUUGAGAUGUGAUACUUGGAUUAUUUGAAAGCCUCUGCUAAGCAAGAAGUCAAAUUAAAGGAUUUAGUAGACCCUUUUAAUGAGGAAACAAUAAAUAUUUGGAUCAUUUCAUUCUCAUUGUUUAUUUUGCUAUUCAUCUGUAUUUGGAAGCCCUGGAAAAGCUUAAGAAGCUUUCUGAUUACAUUCUGGUCUGGCCAGAAGCUGGAAAUGCCUUUAAUGAAUACCCAUGGGGUUUGGGUAUUCAUGAAUGUGUUCCAAAUGAACAUGUUUGUGCUCACUAACAACAAAAAAAGCCAGGAUUUUGAAUCGGGAGAAACAGGUUCUUGUUCAACUUUGUAGCUGACUUGCUGAGUGACAGUUAACCCAUCUGAUCCUCUUCCCUUGUGUGUACAGUAGAACUAGUUGUAUGUACAGCAUGAGUAAGUGAUGUAUGAGGCCACAUCAAGGUCUGUAAAACCGCUUUGAGAGUCUCCUAUGAGAAGUGUUAUGAUGAUGAUUACAUGAAAAAAUUUCAUUUGGAAGAUAUGAUGUCAUCGCCUAAAUAUGUGCUUUCUGGUCCACCGAAACAAAGGACUCUUGAAAUUCAAAAAUGGACAGAGUUCUAAAGAUUAACUUCAUCUUCCUAAAAUGCUGAGAAACAUGCAUUUCCCAUUUGAAGAUCUGAAAACACUUUACUUAGAGUUGAAACCUGUUCGUUCCCUCAGACAACCUGUUCUGUAUCACUCAAAAAAUACAUUUAAGAUUUUGGACUAGAAUCAUAAACUCCUGAUUUUACUUCAUAUCCCAUCUACCUCAACUAUAGCAUUAUUUAAUUUCCGCAAUUAUAUAAAGUCUUCCAUCUUUCAAAGAUGAUAGUACUCCAGGAAUAAUGUUGGAGCUGUGCCAGAGGAUGGUGGAAAGUAGGAGAAUUGAGACUCUCAUUAUUUGGACAGAGGUUAUAAUUCAUGCCUGGUUGGUCUAAAAAUUGCCUUAAUCGUGGGAUAUUGAUGGAGGAUGAACCAGUGUAUCUCUCAGCUUCUAGAAGGAACUUUCUGAGUUGUUGAUAGACUACUCUAAAAAGCCAUAUACACUUUUCCAUACAUGCAACAAACAUACCAUGCUUCAUGGCCAACAGGAAGCACAGCAGUGAAGAGCAGGUGAUUUUUUAACGUAGAAUCUCCAAAACUGGACCAGCUUACAAGCUCCUAAAGUAGGUCUACAUGAAAACAGUCUCAGGUGUUUGUGUGGGCUUCAGUGAAUGUAGUCUGGGCUCGACACACUCACUCGGAGAUGCAAGGCUUACUCAGUAUGCUAGCUGAGGACAAACUACAUCAGACGCUUCAGAAAGGAAUUCCACCAGCAGAACAGUAGCACAGAGGAUGUUUUGUGGAGGACCUUUGAAUGAUUGUUUUUGUGAACAGAAACCCGGUCCCUCAAAUGUCAACACUUCAGAUGCAAGGAAAAUUCUAAGGACAACGCAGUUUUAGAAAAAAAAAAAACAGUUUGAAAUUGACUCAAUUUUAAUUACAUACAGCUACAGAAUAAAAAUAUUUCAAAGUGAAAAAUCCCAAACUGAAAAAAUAGCCAUUAAGAAUGUUGACUUGACAUCUUUUGACAUGAAUCUUUCCUUUUGUUUCUUCCAACAUAGCUAUAGACUCUGACCAAAAAAGUCAUGUCUUUUUCUUACAAGUUUGAUAUACAAAUUAAAUAAUUCAUUGUUGUACUUAUCAAAUAUGAAUGGACACGUUUUAUUCAGAAAAAGAUCUAAUCCUUUUCAAAUCUUGUUUUCACCUGUGUGAUAGCUUGUAGCGGUGAGUACCAUGCACUAAUUGUGGUACUUUGAAAGUAUUUUCUUUCAUCAACUCUACAUGCUCUAUCGGGCAAUUUAAGUUAAUGCCCAUAGUUCUCAUACGGGAGCAAUCAAUUUUACUUUUUCGACAUAAUCCUCUUUUCUGUUUAUUUCCAAAAUGUUCCUUCUGAUAACUCUUUGUUUCUGCAAAAAUCUCUUCAAAUCACAAGUUUUCCUGCAUCUUUAUAUAACGUUUAUAACAUUUUCAGCUUCUAGAUCCUCAGCUGUAUCCUUACUGACAAGCUAAAGGCUAUGGCCAGAGCUAAGCAUGCAGCUACAUAUUUUGAUCAGUUUUGUUUGAUUUUUUUGCUUGAAGGAUGCAAGUUAUCAAAAGUAUAAACCUUGAUAUAGAUUUUUUUUUCUUUCAAAGUUUACGAACAGGAUUUAAUCUAAUAGGUACUUAUGAAUUUAUCCUUUAGGUCUUUCUGGAUUCAAAUGAAGAGCUGGGUUUUCUUUAGAAAGGAAAAGAACAGAAGCUUACUUGAGAGGAAGUGGUAGAUGCAGUUGGCUCAUUGUUAUCUUAAGCAUUUCCCUUCUUUGUUGUACUAGAGAUAAAUGAAUAGCUGCUAUGCACGGACAUGCAUGACCCUCAAGUUCUGGCUCAUGAUUUCUUGUUAUUAAAUAUUUGAAGGCAUGACUUGAAGACAAACUCCAGCAAAAGGGAUUUAAUUUUUGAAGGAAUCUGGCAGACACUUUUGCAACAUUGUCUUGCAUAAUUUGCUGUUGGCAUGUUUGUAUCUUCCACCAUACUUCUCCUUAUCGCCAGAUUCAUGACAGAGGGUGCAGUGGGCAUCAGAACCACCAUCCUUUAUGCAUUUUUUAAGCUAAGUCUUUUAAAGAAGAAAAGCUUGCACAACUGUGCUGCAGACGCAGGUACAUCUUCUUCUCCCCUUGAACAAUUUAGGAAUAUGUCGCUCAAUUUCAGCCAUGCUUGAAAGAGGCAACUGGUGACUGCUGUAGGAGAAAGUCACAAAUGACUGCCCCUGCUGAGGGCACAGCAGAGAAAAGGCAGCUACUACACAUUCCUUUAGCAGCAAGGGGCUUGUUAGUCAGCAGCGUGUAGGUCUAGACUCCUUCAGAAGGUUAAUUCUCCCCUUUCAGAACUGCCAUGGGAAUACGGUGCCCAUAACUCAGGGAAGAGGCAUGAUGGAAGGCAGGUAGUGAAGGAGAUAGUUAAAAAACAUGGACUCCUCCUGUCCAUCAUUAGUUCUUUGAGCAGCGAAACUGUUCACACGCACAAAAAUUUGUAUAAGUACACCCUAAAGUAUUCAAGACAUUAAUGAAAAUCCAAAGCAUCUUGUUCAUUUCAAUUGCUUCUCCACCCACAUUCUUCAUUGAAUUAAAGGAUAUCCUACACGCGCUUUUGUUUCACUUAUUCCCUAAAGAUCAUUUCAUCACACACCAAGCAAGGAUCUUCAGCGUACUCAUAGUAACUUCACAGUCAGAGCGUUCAGCACUAUGAUGUUCCUGGCACAAGGGAUGUUAUUAAAGGAUUUAAGAGAUGAAUAAGACUGCAGAUUUCCCCAGGGCAAGACAUCAGAAAAUGGACAUCAAAAGAACCUGGCUCAAAAUGCAGCGGGCAUUACCAGCUUGUGGCAAAUCCCACUCAUCUCUGAACAGUAAUGUUGUCAGGCUGCGCUAGGGAUGUGUCUAUCCCAGAAUACCCCUGUAGAACUGUUUGCUUACCCAGUAAAAGCACUCCUGUUCAAUACCAGCCCCUCUAGUUCAAGCCAGCAUAAUCUUCAUUAAUCAAAAAUACACUGGGCCAAAUCCAGCUACAAUCAUAGGCAAACCUUCAGCAAUAUCCCAGAGCAAACAUGACACAGGCUAUACAGCCAUCAAAAUUACCUUUCUUUUCUCCAGUCAUAAACCCAGUCGGACUGCACAAAGAACCAUGCAGAUCUCCGAACAUGUGAGUAUUUCUUACAGGAAGUGUAGUUUGUCACACAUUGCAUGUCAUCUUCACAGACCCCAACAGGAUGACAGGCUCGUGACAGGAUUUUUUUUAAACUUCUAUUUCCUCUUUCACCAAGAUCUCAUUAGGAUUGAUUUUCUUACAGCUAUUUUGAACCAUGAACAACAAUUCUUGAGUAGACACUGGGGAAGGAGAAGCACACAUGAUGUCACCACCUGAAUUAUUAUGCUAGGACAUAAAAAUAGUUUGAAAAGUAGCAUGACCAAAAUUACCAUAUCGUUUAAUUACAGCCUACUUUCAUGACAGGCCGUCAGAUAAUUAACAGUGUCAAAAUGCUGAAUUGCCUCCAGCUUCUACAUGCUUUGCAAAUGACAUGGAAGUCAUCUUUUUAAAUAGCAACAGCUUAACUGAAAAUGUAAAACCUAUAGUGAAAUACUUUGAAAAAUGAAGCAGUCAGCUGAACUGACAUGAAAUUCCCCGCACCAUAAAUUCACUAGGGAAGACAGUUAAAAUCCACUUAAUUUUCUUUCUGAAGAUCACAUUCACAUGAGGAUAUUUUUGCGUUAGGAACUAUUUUUCUGAAAUUGAUAUCUUUUUAAGAGUUCUAAAAAAAGGAGACAUAAGUGACUGUUCUGUCCAGCUAUGCACAUGGCCUGGUUCCAGCACUGGCACCUUCCCUCCAGCCUGCCACAAUACAGGCAAGCAUAAAGCAGAGAAAGGCUGAAAAAGGUGGGGUUUUGUUGAUGUUUAGGGUUUUUUUUUCAGAUAUAACUCACCUUCCCUGAUUGCUAAGUAACACAUAUGAUACUAGAGAAAACUCUCUGUAGAGAGAGGGAAGGAUAUUUGAAUAAACUUGGGAAGCGAUACACAAUUAUGUUAUCCAUUUAUUAUUAGAAAUUAACAUAGAAUAAAACAGUGGUCCCCAAUCAUUUUGUGGAAAAGGGCCUCUGGCCACAGGAGACAACUGGCCUUCCUGGCCUCCACUUACCCUCCGUAAACUCUCAGCCAGUACCAGGAAUACCUGUGAGAGGUGAGAGCAGAGCCCAAGCAUACAGACUCCAGAAGCACGGAGUACAAAGAGCACCCCUCCUCGUCCCUUGGACAAAAACAGGGAUGGGGAAGGCAGUAACAGAAAUUCUCUUCCCUUGAAGCACACCUCAGAUGGCAUAAUCCCCCCAUGCAGCAAUGUCAGUUCAGCAUCACCAUAGGCAUUUAGUUAUUUUGCAGAUCCCCUUUUCUUUUCCCUCCAUCAUCAUCACUGCAGCAUGCAGGCCUACCUCCCUGUUUCAUAUUGCCUUUUGCACUCCUUGAAAGCUGCUUUCUUCCCCGUGCCACUGCUCCCCACACCUCUAUACAGCAAUCUCAUAAUUGGCACCAAAUUCCUUACUCCCUUUAUUGGACAGAGUUAAAAUAAAUGUUUUUUAUAAAAAUGAUACAAAAUAAGCUUUGCAUAAAUUGUAGCAAAGCAAAACAAUAGUGCUAACUGCACUGGAUAGACAACUCAUGCCUGAACUAGCCAUCAAAAGAUAAGAAUGGUGCCCAAAUACAGAAUUAAGCUCUCCUUUGAAGGGUAAGAAAGAGACAAAACAUCUUGAAACUGAAGCGAAAACAGUGCAGCUUCUCUCCUUCAUUCUUUCUUUUGUAAGAAGAUGAUUCCUUUGUUGAAGAGCCAGAAAGAAAAGUUUUGACUUGUUUCCCCAAAGGAAAGUGAGUGCUUAACAUUGAGAAAACUGAUGAGCAAACAUCCCCUCCCAUAGCUUGCAAAAAGCUGAACACCUUAGUAAUAAUGAAGAGAAUCCUAUCUCUUGGAUGAAUAAAGGAAUCAAGCUAACACUAAGCCAGAAUUUUAUGUCAUAUGGUAACAAGGGAACGUACAUGUCAAGUAGAGUGCUUGAAUAAUAAAGGAUAAGGCUACUAGAAAGCAAUCCGAGAAUACAGGAGAAACUGCGGUGGGUGGAUUCAUAGCUUCAUGAUUGUGGCACUGUCCAGGUGAUUAACAAAUUGGAGGGUAGAAAAUAUGACUGGAUUGAACUUCAAGAUAACUCAGGUGUGGGACCAAGGGGAGUUCCUUCGGCUUGUAAUUUAUGCAAUAGGCAAAGGGCUUCAAAUACUAGAAAGCAAUGAGUGAGCUUCUUAAGCUGAGUUCAAAGUGGUCUCCAUAACUGAAGUCUUUGAUCAAGAAAUUUGGUAAAAAUGCCAUUUAGCAUGGCAGGCUGUUAAAAUUAAAGCUGACCAGUAAACAAGAAUGAUUCACCUGGCCAGGAUGAAAAACACCUCAAAGCAAUUUUCACAAAAUGGGGACUGUUCAACAACUCUCUCUCUGUUCCAAAGGGAGUAUGUGUUAGAUGGAUCCUGCUAGCUGUGUCCUCUUGUGCUAGGACACUGUUGCUCUUUUUCCCUGCAAGGAAGCCCUGAGCCCUGCACUGACAUUUUAAAUUACUGAAAACUAGUUGUUAUUAGCUUGACUAUACCUUAAAUUAUAAGCUCUCCGGGGAAAGAACCAUCUUUUACUCUGUAUUUUUACAGAAAGCAGUGUAAGAAGGAAUUAGCAUCCAGUAAGGCAUAUUACACAAUAUGAUGAUGCAAUGUUAAGCGCACAUUGCAUUCUCCCCUGACCAGGUGUUUAACCAGACAAUCCUGGAGAUACAAGCAUUAGUCCAAUAACAACUGGAACGGCACUGGCUUCCACUAAUGGCAGAAGAUAUCCCACAAACUGCAGCUGCACCAGCUCAGUAAGUGCUUUGGAGAUCAGCCUGUGCUAGUCCCUCUUAUUCAUGGAAACAUACCUACAAUUCCCACUUGCCAGGAGUGAUGUUGAACUCUAUGGACUGAGGGAGUCAGGAAGCCAGCAAACAUUGCCAUAUAGACACCUUAUUACAGAAAAACUGAGUGAGUAAAAGCAACAAUGUCACUGGUGCCACUGUACAGAUCUCCAUGCUGAAUACAGGUCACUAGUUAUUCCAGGCAAGUUGCGUUGCAACCUUUUUCCCAUUAGUUCAUUUCUUUCACUAGAAAUACGAAAACAAAAGCCAGACACAUGCUAGUCUUGACCAUGUCAUUUAUUAGGUCAGCAGUGAUGGCAAACAGGGAAUCGUUCAGUCUUAUCACAGACAAAGCCCACCACUAAAUCACAUCGAAGUGUACACGUGGAGAGAACAUUUAUAGUGACACAUGCUCCUUCCACUUCUCUAAUGAGCUUCGUGGCCCUGCUUGAACCAUCCUGUUCUCCUCCUAGCAAUGUUCUGACUUCAUAACAGUGUGUGGCAACUCCCUGCUCUAGCUAAAGGACAUUGCUUCACUAGGCGUAAUUAGGCCUAUACAAAACAGGCUUAUUUAUGCCUUGCUAAAUCACAUGAUUGAGAUUGUGUGAAAUGCGGUGAGUCAGAGCACUUUGGAAGCCCUGCCCAGCUAUUUCCUCAUCUCAAUGAGAAUACAGUCUGUAAACUGUUCGGGCUUAUAACUAAAAAGUCAGUCAGAUGAAUAUCCUAAGUUUGCUAAAAAGGCUGGUACUUUAUUCCAAACUGCCAGAACCCUUGCAAAAUAAUUUUGGCUGUAUUUGCUGCUUACAUUAUGGCUUUUUACAAUAAUUGGUAAGUACACACUAGGUUUUUUAGCUAUAAGUUUGGUAGUACCAAUAGAAGUAUUUGGUCCUUGGAUAGAAGUUUACCCUAAUGUAAGAAAGGUCUUGUGAGAUCUAUUGCAUAAGAGUCAUCUGGAUAAGCAACUGUAGUACAAUUCUAUUUUGACCAUAAAUGACUGACAAAAAAAUAUGUCCAAGGAUAUAGAAUGUUUUUCACAAUGUUUUUCAAUAGAUGCAUAGUAAACUAAUAGUAAAUACAUCAGGAAGCUGCUUGAGGGGGAGGGGAGCAGGAAAAAAAGUACUCUUUGUAAUCUGUCAUUUAUUUUAGCUUUUACCAAAUUAGGGAGAUGUUCUGAGCAUAAAAAUCACAAAUAUUUUUGCUGUAACAGGAUUACUUAACUACAGUAGUAAAAACUGUUAAAGCUUGGCUACCUGCACAAUAAAAACAACGCAUUAAUACUUCCAACAGCUAUUUUCUGUGUGACUGUUUAGAAGGUUAAGACUAAUUAAAGAUAAUUAUUUCAUCACCUCUCUCAUCUUGGCUUAUCUAAGCUAACACAGAAGGGCAAAAAUUUAAUCAAGGCACAUAUCAUACAAAAAUCUAACACGAAUUAAUGCUCAGAGAAACUAAUACCAAAAAGAAUGUCUCAUCAUGUUUAUUCGAGGCAAGUGAAGUCUUGUUCUGAAUGGCUACUUGUUCGUCUGCUCUUUCCUGUCAAAUACUGGUCAUCCCAAGAAAUUAAAAGCCAAGAAGGCCCCAGCAGUUUGAAAGUUUUAACACGUCCUGUGAUGUCAGGCAGCCCAAAUUCAGCAGCUGCUUCUCAGGCAGUACUCACAGCAACCACAGAGAGAGGAAGACGACAAAGCAGUUACAAAGGAAGAUGCACUUGGUACAUACAUUCUUGAUGACAGAACUGUGAGUCGUUGAGAAAACGUUGGUGUAAGACAUCUAAGCCUUAUUGCAGUUUACUGCAAAUUCAGACUAUUUUGCAGAUUAAAACCAGAAAGAGAAUGCACGGGAAAGUUUCUGCCAGUUAAGAUGUCAAUGACGUACCUCUGCUUGUUGCCACAGAGCAAGCAAUCCUGCUCACAGAAUUCACAAGUUCUCAGUGACCAAGCCUGCACUAUAAAAAAAAAAAUCCUUCUAUAAUUUAAGAAAAUCAUCAGGAGAGAACACGUACCACUAGAAACAAUAGCUAGAUUAUCCCUUCAAAUUCGACUUGUAGCCUUUAAAAGAAAAGAACGGAUGGAAUAUUUUUUAAUAGAAAAUCCAUUUCAAGUUUUUCAGGAGAACCAAGCUGGAAAAUCACCAUGUAAUGGGAUAAACUACUACAAUUUCAAAGUUGGAAAUGGCCAACGUGAUUUCUCGGUGCACACUGCCAAUGAAAGCAAUUCUGCAACUCAAAGGGCGGUAUAGAUAAAGGUUAUAAUAUUGCUGUGUUCAAAUGUUAAUAAUUUACAACACAGAAACCAUGGGGCAGGGAGGAAAGUGAUGCAGAAAAGACUAGAAUAUGUAAUACAUUCCCUAUUUUUCAGAAAACUGAUAUUUCUUUUGUGUCAAAACAGAAGUCUCAGCAAAGUACUCAAAUGUCCAGCAGCAGAUUGUGAGAAAUCAUGGUCUUCCAGUCAAGCUGAGGAAAUCAGGCUGUGGGAGACUUAAAAGACUAUUAACAAGGGUUACUUCCCUUGUAAGAAUUAUUUUAAUCCCUAUUUGCUUUCUUUCAGAAACAUGCAAAAAUGGAAGCCAUUACUAAUUACAACUGUCACUCAGUCUCCAGAAACAGAACAAAUGCUUUAAAAUGACCAGAGAAGGAACUUUAGUUGCAUCAUUAUUCCCUUGAGACUGAAAAUGCUGUGAGCAAGUUACAGCUAUUUUCGAUUAAAGACCAUGUGUUAGAAACCCAUUUGAAACAAGAUCUCAUCAGAGAUGGCAAUUUUUUCUGAAAGUUCACAUUGAAAGCUAUUUACUGUCUGAGGUUUUCAAUGAACAGGAACCUGCAGCAUGAAUUGAAACUUCAACAGCUUGCCCCAGAAAAAUCACUUUUCACUUUUUACAAAGUCAUGCAAAAUGGGCACGAUGGGAAGGCUGCGUUUGGGUGCUGUGGCUGCAGAGCAGAGGGAUGGCUGGGUCAGAGGGUGGCUGCGGUAAUGGCACGCUGAAGCCACGUGCUGCAUUCAGCUUAUCAGCCCACAUUGCAGGCACUGCCUACACAUUACCAGUUUGCCAGCACUAACCUCCUGUUUCACAAUUAAAAGUUUAAAAAUAAGCUGCAAGCUAUGGAAUCUGACCAGAUCUGUUGCCCAAGGCAUCAAUAUGGUAAAUCCUUCCCUUCUUCCCAAACUCAGUAUGACCCUGGCAGCAGCACUGCAAGCUCCCCCAUAUUGCUUUGCCAAGAGAAGCCUCAGAAGCAGAGCAAGCAGCAGCAGCAUGGAAAAAGGCUAGCUCAGUGUGCAAGGCCCAUUUAUGUGAUGGCCAUCUCCGCCAAGCCUACACAAAAGGACUCAAUGCAGAUGUUCUCCUUUUAAAGGAAGGUUACCAUUUCUUUCAGAGAGUCAAAGCUGGCCAUCUAUCAAGUGGCAAGGCAAAGACAACCAAAGCAGACCCUGUACAGACAGCUUCCUCUGCAGGAGACCGCAGGCUCAAACACUGCCACCCAGGUGCGGGAUGGAGUUUCACAAGCUCGCUAAACCAACCUAAGCAAGCUGUCAGGGUGAGGAAUGACCAAGGUUUUGGCACGUGCUACCAUGCACAACUGUGUGGUCAGCCUUAACAAUCAGCUGAGCUAAAAAAAAUAUUGGAAACUUACAAAAAAGUCAUUUACAACCAGCCAAGCUGAUCUAGGUGACCUCUCAGAUCACCUACUGCUGCUGGCACUUGAGAAAGUAAAGCAAGGCAAGGGCUGCCUCUCUUGCUGGUUUGGAAGCUUGGUACAGGCCUUUCAUGAAACUAGUCCUGGUGUGCAAAGGUGUUGACAAUCUGUUGAGAUUUUAAGCCUUCACUUACCUAUGUCUGGCAAUAAUUUGCAUCGCUUGGAAAUUUCCAACUUCGUAUGGCCUCAAAGUCAGAUCUGAUUUUCUGAAAAUGUAGUUUGUGCAACAUUUCCCAGUGUCUGGAGAAAGCUGGUCACACGGCACUGGCUCUUCUUUGUCUGUUAAGUUGCAUCAGAUCAUCUAAAAAUACAUCAAAUACUUUCUAAUAUUACUUUCUGACAAUAAGCGGUUACUAUAGCUGCUGCAAGCAUGUUGCAAGAACGGGUGAGAGGUCACCUAAUUCCUAUUCAGCUAGACAUACACUGGAAAGCCUUGGAAUAUGAUUUUUUCUUUAAACUUUUGCCUUUGUUGAUACCUUAUCAAAAAUAUUGAACAACUUCUAAAGCCUCAAAUGAGCAGGUAAUCUCCUUUUACUCCAAGGAUGCAACAAAUUUAGCAUAGUUAUUAAAUCCAUCCACAACGGGGAGUUCAAAGAAGAACUAAUAUCUGAGAACCUGACAGAUACCAGCUUGCAAAGAGAAAAUUGUGCCUGAGCAAGCUGUGGUUCUGUUGUUUAGCGAGAGGGCAUUUAAUAGGACUGACAACCCCCCAAACAUUAUGUUUACCAUGUAGAAGUAGCUUUUUGUAACAUCUGUAUAGACGUAGCUCUUCUUUGAAGAGCCAUCUCCAUUUUAUAUUAAUUUACAUACUACGUACUUGUAUGAGGAAGAGCGGUGCUCCCAAAAUGAAGGCAAACCAGGGCACCGUAAGAUGUGUAAGUUUGUUUCUUCUUGCCAAAUAUACAGUGCCAAAGUCCAAAAUAAAAGCCCAGUUCCCAAUAACCCUGUUCUAGACAUGAACCCAAGCUUCCACCCAAACAUACCAGCAAGACCGACUUUAGAGUUAGUCUCUUCAUUUGCUCUGCUUGGCUAACUGAAUUCUUGUCUGGCACUGCAGCCCCCAUGUUUCUGAAUAAAUCCAUGAAGUUCUUCAGUGUCUGCAAACUGGUCUUUGAAAAGGGGGAAAAAAUAAAUAAAAAAAUUACUUGAUGGGAACACAAAUAGUUGAAUGUGAAUAACCAUUCCCUGUACUUCUGCAAUCACUUCCAUAAAGCUGCUAUGGCUGUUAUGAUGUGCUUCUGUUUCCACAUCACUUCAUUUGCUCAAUUACAAAACAUGGAUCAUUUAAUCAGUGUAAUCCUGAUCUCCAGAAUGAUCUGGCCACUUUGCUGAACAAAACACUACUGUCUUCAAAUAAUACAAUGAUGCUAAUCUUAAGGGCCAGCGGAAGAGUUCUAUAACCCAAGUUCACUUACAGUGCACGGUUUGUUAAGCCCCUGCAUGUGUCCCUACCAUCUGGAGCAGCACAGGCUGACUGCAGGGAAAAACAGGAGAAUUCCUCACUGGGAGACUCUUUAGUAGAGGCAUGAAUUCAACACUCACAUAAAGCACAGAUUUACCAUGCUGUUUUAUAACUGCCUCGGUUCUUUCCUGUAAAAAGCAAUACGCUGGUCAAUCAAUACACUGCUCUGUAAACAAAUCACUAUUAAAACCAUCAGUGCACACUUGGUGCAUAUUGAAUCCAAAACAUUAUUUGUGAAGAUGGUGGCAGAAGGGAUUUCAUGAACAACUCCUAGUUUCCGUGGAAAGGUAACAAAUAGUAGGGAAUUAACAUGUUUCAGUAGCAGUUCUGGUUUCACCCUUACCAAUUCUAUGCACUCUUCAAUUAAUCCUAGACAACUUAAAGUCUAAAGAAUUUUCAGAAGUUGAAGAAAAAUGUACUUGAACCCUAUUUCUCCAGUCUGCUGUAUAUCAAACGUUCUGUUAUCAAGUUCUUCCACCCUACCACUGCUUUUCUGCAAACUCAUUCUGUCACCAAGCACUGCACAAGGAAUCCCAGCACUCAGUACCAAGUCUCCAGCACCAAUGACUGAAUUGUUCUACUGCCAUCUGUCAUUCACACACACCUUUUCAUAGAGCAAAUGCACAAGUGUUCUACAGACUUGCUCUUCUCCCUGAGGCCAGUCAGUUCCAGGUUUCCUCUUCGUAAACUAGGGAAAUACACAGACCUAGUGGCGGUCAUAGUAGAAUACCAGUGUUUGCAGUCUUAAAAGUUUGCCAAGUUCUCGAUUCUUUCAGUCUUCUGUAAUUCAGCUUUCUCACAUACAGUCCAAGAAGUUUCAACCUAGACUCUGUUUUCCAAUACUAUUUCAAAAUUAUUACCAAGAUCUUUAGUAUGUCAGUAACUUUAUCAACAUCUUUAAUGUCAACAGCAUUGAAGUAGUGAGCAAGUUCACUACAGAAGCCAAAGAACAUUUUAAUGCACCACCUGUCCACCUUAUUGUAGGGAAUUUUUACUGUAGCAACACUCCCCCAUCACUACACUUCAUAACUCUGCAUUUCCAUCAGCAUGUACAAACACUGAGUUUACCAUGAAAAAAUAUGAAGAAAAAUAGUUUUUCCCACAAGAGCCUUAAUGGGUUAAUUUUAAUUAAAAUCAGUUUAAUGAUUGAUAAGCUCUAGUAUUUCCAGCAGCAAAUCAUAAGUGGUUGACUGUUUUCAGAUACAGUAAAAAACUGAAGAUAACGUAACUACAUAAGCUAGCAUAUUUAGUUAGUUUACUGCUUGUCAAACAUAUGAAAGAAUGACAGUUUAACAUGUAAAUUCUCAUGACAACCAAGAGCAAAAAUUAAACAAAUAUUUUGUAAGAAUCAGGAAGUUCAACUAUACAGAAGUUUACCAAACCCAAUGCUUACUCUUAAUCUCUCACAAAGUUACUUUCAACAUACUUCCUACAUCAGAAACCAACAAGCAUGAAUUUUCAGUAUCUGAUUAGUAUUUGAGAGAGAGGGGGACAUCCGAUACCGCAAACUCAGUACAGUUGCUACUUUGAAGCGCUCUUCACUCGUGCCCCUUAAGCAAAUGACAGAACACUGCAAAUACCUGUUUCCUAGUAUCCUUCAUUUGCUCUUUGAGCUUGCAAAGGAAGCAAAAGGCAAUUCACUGUGCCUGCGCACACGUUAAUGAAGAAAUCUCUUCCUUAUAAACCGAAGAAUCUGCAGCCGAUUCAAGGUUAGCCAUACAACAGACCAAAGUUCCAUUCAACACUGCAGAGAAAAUAGGAGAGUGGAUAUAUGGGAGUGUGAAAUCCUAAAGCUCUAACAGGAUCUUCCCUAAACCUGCAUGUAUCUUUGUCAUGAGCUGUCAGCAAGGAGGCCCUGCUGUUUAGAACAGCAGCUGCAUCCACCAGUUGUUCCUCAGCUACUGCUGGGUGGGAGGAUGAGACAACAUACAAAAGGGGACAUUUCCUCUUCUGUACUGCUCUUUUAUUUUGUAGCAAGAUCCAUGUAGUAUAUAAAAUAACAAAGAAAUGAACAAAGACCUAUAAAAUAAAUUGAGGAGUUCAGAUGACAAACCACUACAGCUCUGCUUUCAUGGUUUUAUGUCGUCGUCACCAGGACUCAUGUAUUGUUUACCUUGUACUUUUACAGUUUUCUAGCCUAUGAACCUACAUAAAAAGCUGAUAUGUUCCAAUUAAGCCAUAGUUAAGUGACAGAUGUAGAAGGAAAAAAUGGCUUUCUUAAGCCACAGCUGCCCUCGACACAGGUUACAAUGAUGUCUAACUACACUGUAAUGCACAUUACAUCAAGAACCUUGAAACAGCCUCUGAGAAAACAGGUUCACAUUAAGCAUUUUAAGGGAAGGUCAUAAAUACUGCACUGUACCAAUGGUACCUCCCAAUGUCCUCUUUAUGCCCGAGGAACAUUUGUGUCUUUUUAGUAAGCUACUACAUAGAUGACACCAAACCCAGAGGUAGGUUAUAGGCAAAGGUAAAAUACAGGCAAAAAAAUCCCUUUAGAGCUAGUCAUUGCACAAACUGCCCAGCAGGAGGCAAGGCAAGAUGUCAACAACUCUUUCCUCCCACCUUAAACGUUGCUCACAUGGUGCAUUUAAUUUCUAGUGACAGUGGAUCAUCAGCUGCUAGUAAAUGCAGUCAUGCCAAGGGAACAGCUUGAAGUUAUUCAAGCAAAAAUCUGUUACCGUGCAAAACUGGUUCACUGGACUAUUACCAACUAGACCUCCGAGUUUCAUAAGUGACCUGAUGGUAGAAAACUAAGGGAUCUGUUUUCCUUUUGACGUGAUAUACUCUACACAAUCAACAGGAGAACAUACAGCUAAGUGUGUGGAAGGAGUCAAAGUUGAGAAAGGAAAAAAAAUAAUCACACUUUUCUGGGACUGAGUUUUCUUUUU